rnacentral:rRNA from 1 species
UACGUAGGGGGCGAGCGUUAUCCGGAUUUACUGGGCGUAAAGCGCCCGCAGGCGGUCUAGCGCGUUUGAGGUGACAGCUGCUCGCUUAACGAGGAGAGGGUCUCAAAGACGGCCAGACUUGAGGACCAGAGAGGGACACGGAAUUCCGGGUGUAGUGGUGAAAUGCGUAGAUAUCCGGAGGAACACCGAAAGCGAAGGCAGUGUCCUGGCUGGCCCCUGACGCUGAGGGGCGAAAGCUAGGGGAGCGAACGGG